rnacentral:rRNA from 1 species
CCCUUAGAUGUCCGGGGCCGCACGCGCGCUACACUGAAGGAAUCAGCGUGGCUUUCUCCCUGACCCGAAAGGGUUGGGAAACCCGUUGAAUCUCCUUCGUGAUAGGGAUUGGGGCUUGAAAUUGUUCCCCAUGAACGAGGAAUUCCCAGUAAGCGCGAGUCAUAAGCUCGCGUUGAUUACGUCCCUGCCCUUUGUACACACCGCCCGUCGCUACUACCGAUUGAAUGGUUUAGUGAGAAUUUUGGACUGGAACUCCCUUGCUCAGCAAUGGGCGAGGGGGAGUCCGGGAAGCUAUUCUAACUGUAUCAUUUAGAGGAAGUAAAAGUCGUAACA